AAUAGGUUGACCAGUGGCAAAAUUGUAAUAAAAGUAAGAUAUAUUAUGACGUAGUUUUAUACACUAGUCAUAAUAUAAAAUAGGGUGGCAAACUUGUAAAUAAGUUGAAAGUAAAUUAUCACGUAUAUAUGGAUAUAUGAUAUAAUAUGUUAAAAAUUUUUAAUGUAUUAUUACUUCUCUAAUUUUAUCUCUUUCACUUCCCUCUCACUCUCAGACUCUCGGCCCUUUCUCUCAUCCCUUUCUCUCAUCUCUAAUUUUAUCCUCUCAUUCUCUCUUCCUCUUUUCGUCUCUUCCUCUCUGAACUCUCGUUCCAAGAACACUCCCUCCACGCCGUGCUUUUCUUGCUCUGAGAACACUCUUUUUCCGCGACGCGAAAGGGCCGCCAUCAACUAGGUUUUCUCGUCUCGUCCACUAAUGCAGACUACCGCAUCCACUAGCUUUUCUUGCUCUGAGAACACUCUUCUUCCGCGAUGCGAAAGGGCCGCAAUCAACUAGGUUUUCUCGUCUUGUCCACUAAUGCAGACCGCCGCAUCCACAACCCUUCUCCAACCAACAGUUGGAACCGCUGGUGUCGUCACACAUACUCUACCC
rnacentral:lncRNA from 1 species